UUGACGUUUCUUUCUCCAGGUGAAGGAACAAGCUAGCAAUGGCAGACACUAGGUCGGAAAAAACUCCUAAAAAAGCUGUGUUUGCAGAAAGGUGACAGCAUGAAGUUGUCCGUUGUUUUGUGUGCGUUAGAUGAACAAAUAAUUGGCAUACACGUCAAAGAAACCUUCACUAAAGCAAGAAAAACUACACCACACGACGAGGAGAAGACAAGGAAACAACUGCCUCUCUUGUUGCGACCUCCCAUUGCAGGCACUACUACUACUACACACACAGAUGGCAUGCUAAGGUCAGUAAUGCCAUCCAAGCCUUGAACGCUCUGCUGUGGCCAUCACCUGUCUCAAACACGUAACCUUUUGUGGUCUAACCCGCCCUGCAUUGCAAGCUGCAUUGCAGUGAGAAUGCCCUGAUUCCCACGAGGUACACAUCAAUUGCCUGCAUGACUCACAGCAACACAAUACUUUAUACACUGCUCCAAAAAAUAAAGGGAACACUCAAUUCAAUUGGCAGUUUCACUA